GACUCACCGGAUCAAUCCUGCUCACCAGCCCGUCGCUCGCCCCUGACCGCCUGCUCUCCAACCCCCACCUGCCAUCAGUACAACCCUGGACUCCAGUGCUCAGCUCCCAGCCAUUUCCUCUGCCUCUCACCCGACCAACUCAGCCAACCUUGACGUGCCCUCCUCUCAAACUCUCCCUAACUACCAGGAAACUAACUUCAUCAGAACCUCCCGAAUCCCGAUCUACAUCUGCAUCACUCAUCCAACUUAAAUAAAUAAUUUUUACUU